GACACAUAAGAAAUGGGUAGAAAAGAUUCUUCUUCUUCAAGAGCUCCUGUUGAGCAGUACAGAAAACAAAUAGAGCAACACAGUAGCUUUCGGUGCUGCAUGUGGAUCCAAAGAAAAGCUACAGAUCCCAACCUCAAGCUUAUGCUCUAGAAAUGAUAAUAAUCAACAAACACGGCAAAUCAACAGAAAGUUAGGGGGGGGGGAGAUGAGUUUGAGAAUGCCAGAGUUGAAAAAGG